GCCCGGAUGGUCUAGUGGUAUGAUUCUCCGUUUGGGUCGGAGAGGCCGCGUGUUCGAAUCGCGCUUCGGGCC
rnacentral:tRNA from 4 species